UCGAAGAUUUCGUGAGUCAAUGAAUAUCCGAAUGCAUUGUCGUCCCUUCGCAGCUUCGGUUGCAAGGGGUGCGUCGGCAACAUCGGCUAAUUGUCGACCUUCAUAGUCUCUCUUGCACUCUCACGAGGUUGCUGGAUUCUAUGAAGCAGUGGUUCAGUGAACAAGCAUUUCAUUCAAUGUGGCUGUGCUUGUGACGACUUCCUCUCACUAUCGACUAUUGAUUGAGAUCAACGACAGUAUUGUGAUGACUUGCAUAUUCUAUGUGCUUGUCCUUUAGCAAUCAAUCGCUCAGAUUGAAUGCCUUUGAGCUGUGCUCGUCAGUAGUCUGGUGUUCGAUCGUGUCUAUAUGACGAUGUUGUCGGCGAGGAAACCCGCUGAACUUAAGCAUAUA
rnacentral:rRNA from 1 species